rnacentral:lncRNA from 1 species
AACUUAUCAUUGAUUAAAAGUGUUAAAAAUGAUCCAAUGAUCAUUUAUCAACAAGUUUGAAUCAAAGUAGAUUGAAUCAACCGAAACAUCCAUCUAUCAAUGAUUUGAAAUGUGGAAGCUCUAUCAACUAAGCAAACACAAGUUAAAAUAUAACAGGGAGAUGGAGGUUAGUAGUUAGGUUAAAUGAAAUUAGUAUUGCAACAAAACCAACUAUCAAAGUACAAUUGAUCAAUUAUUAAAUGAAAGAACAAAACAAAAAUCAA